GUGCCUUGAAGAGGAAUCAUUUGGUAUUCAAGAUGACAUGGGUAUCAAUAUUGUUGCUGAGAAUAUUGAAGUCUUAAAAGGUAUGCUUCUUGGCCAUAGACUUCCCAAAAUUUCUGGAAACAAAAAGGUUGUUCCUCUUGCUUAGUAUGUUUUUAUUAAAGAAGACAUAGAAGUUUAUGAGGAAGAGAAGUAUUCGAAUCUUGGUGGCAGUAUAUUUGAGUUGAGAUCAUGU
rnacentral:misc_RNA from 1 species